GGUGCUCUGCCCUCUGCUCGGUGGCACUUUCAGAUCCCAUUAUGCAGGGGCAGCAGACCGUGACGCCAGCGGUGGCUGAGAGUGGAAAUUCAGAGGUCCCACCUGAGUUGCCACAGGCCCAGUUUCAGAUUCUGGAGGAAGAAGCUGGCCCCAAUCGAGUGUGAGAAUAAUCAGCCGUGGUGUAGGCAUGGCAGCUGUGAGCUGGAGAAGUCACCCCAACUGGGAUCUGUGACAGGUGGUCAGGGGAUGGCCAAAGGGUACAGGGCCUCAGUGGCUGGACUGGGGUUGGGUGGGGCCAGAGAGCAGGAGCAAAGAAGCAGACUUGGGUGUGGCCUAGCCCAGAGCAGUGGAUCUCAAACCAUUUUGUCUAAGGAUCUCUUUACAUCCUUAAAAAUUAUUGAGAAUCCCACAAAGGCCCAGGUGCCUAUAUCAAUCAAUGUCAGCCUCAUUAGAAAUUAAAACUGAGACAUUUUUUAAGACCCAAGAACAAAAGUAGGCAUGCCACUAGCUGUCACAGUGAUGAUGUCACCACACCUCAGGCAGCCUCUGGAAGACUCACUGUAUACAUCUGGGAGUGGGCGGGAAGAAGGUCCCUAACAUCUUAGUGUUAUAAUUUAGUUAGUUCUGACCUUGGAGACCUCUGAAAGGGCCUCCACUCGCCUGAAUGCACGUGGGGAACUGCUGCAUGGUGGUUCAGAAUGUGGACACAUGGCAAGACUGCCGAGUUUGGAACCUGGCUCUAACACAAUUUACCCUCUCAGUGCCUCCAUGUCCUCAUCUGAGAGGGGCUGAGGAAUGGGACCUCCUCACAGGGGCCGUAGGGAGGGGUAGAAGGGCAUCUGGCACUAGGAUGUAGUCACAGCAUUCUGGCUCUGAUGAGGUGCAGGGCCAGCACAGCUGCUGGGACAGCUGGACGUACAGGCAACCCCAGGGCACCGGAUCCGGGUCUGAUGGGCGGGACAGGAGCCUGAGCACUGGCCUUGGGACCCAGACUCAAUGCUAGGGCUUCUGGCUCCCUGAGGAGGUCUAGUGCCAAGUUUCCCCACUGGGAGGAGGCUCAGCCCUGGCCCCGGAGUCUGAGGGAGCUGCCAUGUGCUAGGGGGGCCUCCGUGGGCUUUGUUCUCAGGAGCGGGUGAAGUAACAGCCCGUGGAGAUGCGAUGCGAUCUGAUAUCUCAGCAAAGACAACUCUCAAAAGAAUAUCUUUUUUUAUGGUAUGCAUGAUUUGUAUUGCUGAUACAUGUAUUUCUCUGCAUCAAUCAAUAAAAAGAUGAAAUUGGGCCAAUUUAUGAAUAUUUCAUACAUAACAAAUCUAGGUUUUUAAUGCUCAAAAAACUGAUAAAAAGUCUGUCGAUAUGUCUCCAACCUGGAUCCUUCUCAGGGCAUCAUGUGGAGACAGGUUCUGCCACCAGCCUGUGCCUCUAACUCCAGGUCCAGUCACCCAAGGACACAGGACUUCAGCUUCCUUCCCG
rnacentral:lncRNA from 1 species